GACGAACGCUGGCGGCGUGCUUAACACAUGCAAGUCGAACGGAAAGGCCCUGCUUUUGUGGGGUGCUCGAGUGGCGAACGGGUGAGUAACACGUGAGUAACCUGCCCUUGACUUUGGGAUAACUUCAGGAAACUGGGGCUAAUACCGGAUAGGAGCUCCUGCUGCAUGGUGGGGGUUGGAAAGUUUCGGCGGUUGGGGAUGGACUCGCGGCUUAUCAGCUUGUUGGUGGGGUAGUGGCUUACCAAGGUUUUGACGGGUAGCCGGCCUGGGAGGGUGACCGGCCACAUUGGGACUGAGGUACGGCCCAGACUCCUACGGGAGGCAGCAGUGGGGAAUAUUGCACAAUGGGCGGAAGCCUGAUGCAGCAACGCCGCGUGCGGGAAGACGGCCUUCGGGUGGUAAACCGCUUUCGCCUGUGACGAAGCGUGAGUGACGGUAAUGGGUAAAGAAGCACCGGCUAACUACGU
rnacentral:rRNA from 1 species